UACGUAGGGUGCGAGCGUUAAUCGGAAUUACUGGGCGUAAAGCGUGCGCAGGCGGUUCGCCAAGUCAGGUGUGAAAUCCCCGGGCUUAACCUGGGAAUUGCGCUUGAAACUAGCGGGCUUGAGUGUGGCAGAAGGGGGUGGAAUUCCACGUGUAGCGGUGAAAUGCGUAGAUAUUGGGAAGAACACCUGAGGCGAAGGCGGGUUGCUGGGCCGACACUGACGCUGAGGCGCGAAAGCCAGGGGAGCAAACGGG
rnacentral:rRNA from 1 species